rnacentral:misc_RNA from 1 species
UAUAGUUUAUCCUCUUUUAGGCUUUGUCUAGAAGGUUUUACAUUCAAAAUGUACUGAAACCGUA